CAAAUUUGAAUUUAAUUUCGAAAAUAUUAACCAAAAACGAUUAUUACCAAAUAUGUAGAGCCAUAAACUAUGUUAAGUAAUGCCCUGACAACACUAACAUAAAUGUAUUUAGGUGUGUUUUGCUAACCGAAAUCUAAUUCAAAUUUUGGAGAAAUUUGCGUGAUAUAUGAGAUUGAAAUAUAUUUGGAAUGUUUUUUAUUUGUUAAUUAAUUUAUUGCAGAAAAAAAUAAAUAAUUAAAAGCCAGUGGCAGCCAUUGUAAAUAAGUUCCAACUCCAGGAUUUAUUUCAUAAAAUGGCUGCAAAAAUGUAUAUAUAGAUGUCCCGACUAGAUGGACUUUUACAUAUGUACUUACUUAUUCCUUAAUAUACAUGUCUUUCUUCUAAUCCUCCUCUUUCUUGGU
rnacentral:sRNA from 1 species